rnacentral:rRNA from 1 species
GACAGAGGUGCCAAGCGUUAGGCGGAAUCACUGGGCUUAAAGCGUGUGUAGGCGGACUUGUAAGUACCUUGUGAAAUCCCACGGCUCACCCGUGGAGCUGCUGGGUAUACUGCGAGUCUUGAGCCACUUAGGGGCUGUCGGAACAGGCGGUGGAGCGGUGAAAUGCGUAGGUAUCGCCUGGAACGCCAAAGGUGAAAACAGACAGCUGGGAGUGUGCUGACGCUGAGACACGAAAGCCAGGGGAGCGAACGGG